rnacentral:rRNA from 1 species
GUGGUUAAGCUAAUAAGGGCGCACGGAGGAUGCCUAGGCGCCAGGAGCUGAAGAAGGACGCGGCGAACAGCGAAAUUGCCUCGGGGAGCCGUAAGCAGGCGUUGAUCCGGGGAUGUCCGAAUGGGGAAACCCGGCUGGAGUAAUGUCCAGUCACCCAUCACUGAAUCCAUAGGUGAUGAGGGAGCACACCAGGGGAACUGAAACAUCUAAGUACCCUGAGGAAGAGAAAACAACAGUGAUUCCGUCAGUAGCGGCGAGCGAAAGCGGAUUAGCCCAAACCAGGGAGCUUGCUCCCUGGGGUUGUGGGACGUCUCACAUGGAGUGAGAAAAGAGCAGGUUAGGCGAAGAGGUCUGGAAAGGCCCGGCAUAGAAGGUAAAAGCCCUGUAGCCGAAAGCCUGCUCCCUCCGAGACGGAUCCCGAGUACCGCGGGACACGUGAAACCCCGUGGGAAUCCGGCAGGACCAUCUGCCAAGGCUAAAUACUCCCUGGCGACCGAUAGCGAAGCAGUACCGUGAGGGAAAGGUGAAAAGCACCGCGGGAGCGGAGUGAAACAGAACCUGAAACCGUGCGCUUACAAGAAGUCAGAGCCCGAUCUAGGGGUGAUGGCGUGCCUUUUGUAGAAUGAACCGGCGAGUUACGUUUACGUGCGAGGUUAAGUCGGAGAGACGGAGCCGCAGCGAAAGCGAGUCUGAAUAGGGCGCUUUAGUACGUAGGCGUAGACCCGAAACCGGGUGAUCUACCCCUGUGCAGGGUGAAGGUGCGGUAACACGCACUGGAGGCCCGAACUCACAAGCGUUGAAAAGCUUGGGGAUGACGUGGGGGUAGGGGAGAAAUUCCAAUCGAACUCGGAGAUAGCUGGUUCUCCCCGAAAUAGCUUUAGGGCUAGCCUCGAGGUUAGCAUCAUGGAGGUAGAGCACUGAUUGGGUGCGGGGCCCGCCAAGGGUUACCAAGUCCAGUCAAACUCCGAAUGCCAUGCAUGUAUACUCGGGAGUCAGACAGCGAGUGCUAAGAUCCGUUGUCAAG